rnacentral:lncRNA from 10 species
CCCUGUGCCAGAGUUCCCAUAUUCAACAAAAUGGCUAAGAGCUUCUCCAGGAUCCAGGACUCGUGCUGGCUCCUUUCCUGAAACCUCAGCCUUUAAAAAGGAGAUCCUGCCAUUUGCCAAAACAUGGAUGGACCUGGAGGACAUCAUACUAAGUAAAAUGAGCCAGACAUGGAAAGAAAAAUAGUAUAUAAUCUCACUUACAGGCGGAAGCUUAAAAGAAGUCAAAUAAUCAUAUUUAAUUAUUAAAAGCCACUGUUAGCAUUAAAAUCCAAAUAUAUCAUUUACUCAGUCAUCUUCACACACACUAUUUGAAUUUCCUCUAUCCUGAUUUUAUCAAUACGUACAUUAUAAAUGAAAUACUGUACUGCAUAAGCGCCUUCUUUUUUCUUAUACAUAAUUUGUUUUUAUUUUCAUAUUGGUCAUUAUUUAAAUUGUAUAAAUUAUAAGAGUAUUUAAUUCCAUAUUGUUAGAUAGAUCAUCCUAGUUUUAUUUUUAUAAGUAACUCUAUCAUAAACAGUUUAUAGUACUAUCCAACGUACUGAUGUUUAAGAGCUUGGGCUUUGAAGUUGGGCAGAAUAAGCCUCAAAUCCUGUCAGAGCCUCUUAAUAGUAGUGUGACGUUAGACAUGCUAUUUAACCUCCCUGAACCUCAGUUCACCUGUGUCCUAAAUGGAUACAGAAUAGUAGCUUCAUGAUAAAUCUAUCCUGAGAAUUAAAUAAGAUGACCUAUGUAAACCAAUAUAUUGUAAAUGCUCAAUAGUUGUUAGCUAUUGCUAUAACAAUUUUUGUCCUUCUGAAUUAUCAAUUUGAGUUGAUUUCCCAAGAAUGAGAAUAUUGGUUAAAUGAUUUGGAGACUCAUUAAUUUAGUCAUAAUAUAAUUGAAUGUCUACUCUAUGUUAAGUGCUGAAAGAAAGUGGUGAACAGUCAGGUGAGGCCCCCAAAUAAGAGGUGUUUGCAGUUUGGAAGAGAAGAUAGACAUUACAUUAAGUCAUUAUAUUUAAAUAUAGUGUUGCAGAAGAGAAAGUAAAAGUGUUAAAAAAUGUAGACCAAGGAGAUAUAUAUUGCCUAAUUAACUUCCAAACUAUUGAACAUUUAAAAUAAUAUGUGAGAGUAAUGCACUAGUUACUGAAAUUCUCAAUAGCUUUUAGCUCAAAUUUUUUCAUUUCUACCUUAAUAUCUGCAAAAUAAUUUUGUCAAAAAGAUUUACCCAUCUUUUGUCCACUAAGGAUGUUGCUGUGUACUUCAGAAAAUAAAAUUAUCUUACUACAUAUUAUGGAUUCUCCUUUAUUUC